rnacentral:rRNA from 1 species
AGCGAACGCUGGCGGCAGGCCUAACACAUGCAAGUCGAACGAAGUCUUCGGACUUAGUGGCGGACGGGUGAGUAACACGUGGGAACGUGCCUUUAGGUUCGGAAUAACUCAGGGAAACUUGUGCUAAUACCGAAUGUGCCCUUCGGGGGAAAGAUUUAUCGCCGUUAGAGCGGCCCGCGUCUGAUUAGCUAGUUAGUGAGGUAAAAGCUCACCAAGGCGACGAUCAGUAGCUGGUCUGAGAGGAUGAUCAGCCACAUUGGGACUGAGACACGGCCCAAACUCCUACGGGAGGCAGCAGUGGGGAAUCUUGCGCAAUGGGCGAAAGCCUGACGCAGCCAUGCCGCGUGAAUGAUGAAGGUCUUAGGAUUGUAAAAUUCUUUCACCGGGGACGAUAAUGACGGUACCCGGAGAAGAAGCCCCGGCUAACUUCGUGCCAGCCGCCGCCGUAACAC